rnacentral:rRNA from 1 species
GACGUAGGGCGCAAGCGUUGUCCGGAUUUAUUGGGCGUAAAGAGCUCGUAGGCGGCUUGUUGCGUCGACCGUGAAAACUUGAGGCUUAACCUCAAGCCUGCGGUUGAUACGGGCGGGCUGGAGUUCGGUAGGGGAGACUGGAAUUCCUGGUGUAGCGGUGAAAUGCGCAGAUAUCAGGAGGAACACCGGUGGCGAAGGCGGGUCUCUGGGCCGAUACUGACGCUGAGGAGCGAAAGCGUGGGGAGCGAACAGGAUUAGAUACCCUGGUAGUCCACGCUGUAAACGUUGGGCGCUAGGUGUGGGGGUCCUCUCCGGGUCUCUGUGCCGCAGCUAACGCAUUAAGCGCCCCGCCUGGGGAGUACGGCCGCAAGGCUAAA